UCCGAGAAACGGAUGAUUGGCCUACCGCUUCCGGCCCAACCCCCUGAACAAUCCCCGGCGGCCUUACUACUGAGUCUUCUGGAAAAACACACUGACCGACUGGCUGACCGUCCAUCCCUGGUCCCUGGACUGUGGAAUGUUCCGGCCUGCAUUUCUGCCCGUCCUCCUGUUGUCCCCGUGUCAUGCUGUGUAUUAAAGUCCCAGUGCUCACCCACC